ensembl:lncRNA
GGGAAAACAACUGUGGUGAACUUGUUCUCUCUGAAGGAAUGGCACCUCCUCUUAGCGCAGCUGAAAGACAGCGGCAUUACAGAGAAUGACAUAAUGCUGACCCAGAAAGAAGGAGAGAGUAUCUAGAGAAAAAGAGGGAGAAAUGGAGGAAAGAUAAAGAGACAGGGAAGAAGAAGGCAAUAGCUGGACUCAGUGACAGAGGGCAGUGUGCAGAAAGGAAGAGAUGGAGAGAUUCAAAAAGAAUACUCAGAGCCAGGGCCAAGGCUAGUGCGUUGCUGCAAUCUGCAGAGAUGCCUGCCUUAGAUGCCAUUAAAGGAACAAUGAAGAUUCAUCAGGUUGUCAGUGUCUCACCAGGCCAGAUAAAAUACAGGGACAUUACUUGUCUGUGCAAGGAUAGUGGCAUGUUGGACUGUCAUUGUUUUCAGCUCAAAGAGGCAACUCUGGGUGACCAUGCAGCAUCUAACCAGCUCCCUGCAUCUCAUGACAAGGCUGACACCACAUGGCGACCUGGCACCAUUGAACUUAAUCACGUAGGGGAGUGGUGUGUUGUCAAUUAUGACCAUGAACGAUACCCUGGCAUCAUCAUGGACAUAAAGGAACAUAACAUCUGGUCAAGUCCAAAGGAAGAUAUUUGUUGGUACUCUGAUGGACAGAUACUUUGUCUGAUGCCAGAGCCACAGGCAGUUAAUAAACGCUCUGUGCAGAUGGAAAAAUAA